CCUUCCAUCCAGCUGUGGAGAUGAUUGACAUUUUUGGAAUCCUCGGGGACACAGUGCUUUCCAAACAGAGUCUUAAAGUGAGAGACGUGUCCAACCUACUGGGGGACUUUACUCCUAGGGAGAUUUCACAAGUUAGUAACUGUUGUUACCCCAGUGGAGUCUCGCACAAAGAAAUCGGAUCCCAAAGCCAAUGGUAUCUCAAUUAUCUGGCUUGAAGAAUGAAGAGUAACUUCCUAUGUUCCAACUGGCUUCAAGUAUAUGAAGCCUAGACUCGUCCAGUCUGUGCACUGACAGCACUUACCUUUCAACCAUGAGGGGGAGCUGCCAAGAAUGGAGAGCUUUAAAAGAUCCUCCUGUAGGCUGUGCCUCUCUGGCAACAGCAAGAUUGAACACUGGAAAUGUUACUGAACUGCUUCAAGCAAAGCACUCGUCAAACAACCCAGUUCUCUAAGAGACUGUUAACAGAGUGGCUUGCCCAGUUAUGAAGUGAGGGCCAAGAGACGUUGCAGCUGAUGCCCCUCUGCUCUUGCUCCGAUCCUGUCUUUUGAAGAAUGAAGGCUCUCUAGACUGACCUUUGGAAGCUCUCUGACAACACUUCCCUCUGAGACUGCCCCCAACUACACUUCGAAUCCUGGUCACCAUGAUCUCAUUGACUUCAGAAGGUAAACACAAAGUAAAUAUAAGGCCAGAUUUCAAUCAAGGAACUUAAGAAAAGGCCUCAGACUCAAGUCCUUGGCUUCACUUCUUGCUGUGAGUCAGAGCCACAAGGUUCCCAUUAAGGUGUGUGUGAACUGUGUGUUACUCUGCACUGAAGUUGAUCUGUAAUGGAAUGCUGUCAAACAGCCAAGUUCUUCCAGCCAUCUCUUGGACCCACAUUCAAAACAUAUCAGCAUCUCAUCAGCCCUUCCAUUUGUAAAAAGCUUUGCAGUUUACCCAGCAAGCCAUAGUUACAGAGAUAUUUUGGUUUAGGGGAAAGUAAAACCGGUAUUAAAUGCGUGUGUUACUCCUAUUGUAUUAGUACGUAUCAAGUUGUCACAUCCAUCUGGAAUGAGUUGCCAUGGAAAAAAAACACUAAAUGCCCAGAAUUAUGUAUGGAGCACGCUUUGAUACAGAACAAAGUAAUGGGGGAAGGCACGUUCAGGGAAUUUUUUUUCCAUAACCUCUACUGCUGUCCAAAACUAGGGGACAGAAUUCCUUAAGCCAGGUCAUUGAGCAGGAGAGAAACUAUUCCUAUAAGCUCAAGUCAUGCAUGCGUGGUCGAAGCGGGCAGCAAAUCUUUGGUUUCAGACCCUCUUCCUCUUGCCUCUGGCUUCUCUCUUUUAAGUGAGUCCCUGAAGAAUUUUAGGCAAAUAUAUUUUGAAAAAGCACUCAAAAGGUUUAAUAGCUGAAGAGGAGAGGAGAUUGCAAUUCCCCCUCCCACACCUCCCUCUUAGUCUUCAAAAGCCACUUCUUCAAACGAUAGCUUGCGAAGAUGUCCCUCGUUCCUCGUCACUAGGUCAUCUCUCACCCUGGUGUGUCACUACCUUCAAAGACGAAUGACCUGGUAAGAGGAUGAAACACACUGAGGUUCAAACACUCCUGUGGACUGAUGGCUCUACACUGUAGCCAGGAGGUAUCUUUCUCUUUCCUUUCCACUUCUGAUGCUCUGUACAGAAAGGACAAUGAUUAUUUCAUUGACUCCAGAGGUGAGAAAUGAAGAGUCAGGACCGAGAAAAAUUGGAGCCAGGACAUAUAAUCACAUGUUUCUUAGGGGAAAAUAAAACAGAUAAACAAACACAGAAAUAGAAACUCACUGUACAGAACAAAAUGGUAAAUUCAAGAGAUGUACAGAGGCUUGGAUUCUGGUUCAGGACAGACUUCUCAGUGUGAGGCUUGUUAGGAGCCAAGCUGAGGAUGUUCGCAGCCAACCAUUGGACUAAGUGUGGGGUCCCCAAUGGAGGAGUUGGAGAAGGGACUGAAGAAGCUGAGGGGGUUUGCAGCCCCACAGGGGAACAACAGUGUCAACUGGCCAGACCCUCCUGGGAACCUCCCCGGGAACUCCCUGGGGACUGGACCACCAACCAAAGAGUACAAAUUGAAGGACCCACGGCUCUGGCCGGCAUAAGUGGCAGAGGAUGGCCUUGUUGGACAUUAGUGGGAGGAGCAGCCCUUGGGCCUGAGGGUGUUCGAUGCCCCAUUGUAGGGGAAUGCCAGGGUAGGAAGAUGGUAGUCAGUGGAUGAGUGGAGGAGAACCCUCAUAGAGACAGGGGGGGGACGAGACUGAAUAGGAGGUUUCUGAAGGGGAGACCUG